AGAGUUUGAUCAUGGCUCAGGAUGAACGCUGGCGGCGUGCCUAAUACAUGCAAGUCGAACGAGAUGCUUUUGUAGCAAUACGAGAGUAUUCUAGUGGCGAACGGGUGAGUAACGCGUUGGUGACCUACCCCAAAGUGUGGGAUAACAGUCCGAAAGGAUUGCUAAUACCGCAUGUGGUCUUCGGAUUUAGAAACUGAUGACUAAAGGAGCAAUUCGCUUUGGGAGGGACCUGCGUCCCAUCAGCUAGUUGGUGAGGUAAUGGCUCACCAAGGCGACGACGGGUAGGGGACCUGAGAGGGUGGCCCCCCACAAUGGAACUGAAACACGGUCCAUACACCUACGGGUGGCAGCAGUAGGGAAUAUUGCUCAAUGGGCGAAAGCCUGAAGCAGCAACGCCGCGUGUGCGAUGAAGGCCUUCGGGUCGUAAAGCACUUUUCUGAGAGAUGAGAAAGGACAGUAUCUCAGGAACAAGUCUCGGCUAACUACGUGCCAGCAGCCGCGGUAAUAC
rnacentral:rRNA from 1 species